UAGUGACAUUGCUAUGACAAGCAGCAUGGACAAACGUGGAAGACUUCUGCCAGUAUAAUAAUUUUGUGCCCUUUGCCUUUGUCAUUUCACUGAAAACUGAGAAGAGUCUGGCUCCAUCUUCUUUACUCACAGGGCUGGAUGGUGCCUGCCCAGAUCAUAUGCUUUCUCGCUUCUUGCCCUGGGGAACAACACAUUGCCACUGACCUAAAUGAGGAGCAAAGAGCAAUCCCACCAAGAGCACCUCAUCUGACUGUGAGAAUAUGAUCAUCAUAUUUUUGCAUUAAAUCACUGGGAGAUGAAUGCAGAAAAUGAAGGCAGCUGUUGUGUACAACUCGCUUGCUUCAAGGCUUAUCUGACCCCUGUGAAGAAAUGUGUACUGGUGUUAUGAAGGCUUUGGUGUUUGCCAGUGGCUGCAGGCUUGAGGGAAAGCACGAGAAGCCUCUGCCCUGUGACCCUCUGCAGUUGCACCUGAACAACAGAGCGCAGCACUGAGACUUUGGGAAGGCGGCGGUUUCC